rnacentral:rRNA from 1 species
GACAGAGGCCCAAGCCGUUAGGCGGAAUCACUGGGCUUAAAGCGUGUGUAGGCGGGCGGGCAAGUACCUUGUGAAAUCCCACGGCUCAACCGUGGAACGGCUGGGUAUACUGCCUGUCUUGAGCCAACUAGGGGCGAGCGGAACAGACGGUGGAGCGGUGAAAUGCGUAGAUAUCGUCUGGAACGCCGAAGGUGAAAACAGCUCGCUGGGGUUGUGCUGACGCUGAGACACGAAAGCCAGGGGAGCGAACGGG